CGGGAAGUAGCGCAGCUGGCUUAGCGCGCAACGUUCGGGACGUUGAGGUCGCGGGUUCAAACCCCGCCUUCCCGA
rnacentral:tRNA from 1 species